AGGCUAACGCAGGGAACUGAAACAUCUUAGUACCUGCAGGAAAAGAAAAUAAACAAUGAUUCCCCCAGUAGUGGCGAGCGAACGGGGAACAGCCCAAACCAUCCAUGUUACGGCAUGGGUGGGGUUGUAGGACUACGCCGUUGCAUGAAGACAUCAGAGAAGAACUUUCUGGAAAGAAAGACCAUAGAGCAUGACAGUUGCGUAUUCGAAUGUUGUCGAAGCAUAGUAGUAUCCUGAGUAGCGCGGAGCACGAGGAAUUCUGCGUGAAUCUGCCGGGACCAUCCGGUAAGGCUAAAUACUCCCGAGAGACCGAUAGCGAACCAGUACCGUGAGGGAAAGGUGAAAAGCACUUCGAACAGAAGAGUGAAAUAGUUCCUGAAACCGUGCGCCUACAAGCGGUCGGAGCUCGUUAAUGAGUGACGGCGUGCCUUUUGCAUAAUGAACCUACGAGUUGCCUUUGCCGGCAAGGUUAAGUGUGACGACACACGUAUCCGAAGCGAAAGCGAGUCUGAACAGGGCGUAUAGUCGGCAGUGGCAGACGCGAAACCAAGUGAUCUACCCUUGGCCAGGUUGAAGGCUGGGUAACACCAGCUGGAGGACCGCACCAAUAAGCGUUGAAAAGCUUCUGGAUGAGCUGAGGGUAGGGGUGAAAGGCUAAUCAAACUUGGAGAUAGCUCGUACUCCCCGAAAUGCAUUUAGGUGCAGCCUUGCGGGUUACUGAUGUGAGGUAGAGCGACUGAUAAGAUGCGAGGGCUUCACCGCCUAUCAAGUCUUGACAAACUCCGAAUGCGCAUCAGUUCUACCGCAGGAGUGAGGGCAUGGGUGCUAAGGUCCGUGCCCGAGAGGAGAAGAAUCCGGACCACCUGCUAAGGUCCCGAAAUGACAGCUAAGUUAAACUAACGAAGUCUGACUGCUAAGACAGCUAGGAUGUUGGCUUGGAAGCAGCCAUUCAUUUAAAGAGUGCGUAACAGCUCACUAGUCGAGGAGUCGGGCGUGGAUAAUAAUCGGGUAUCAAGUUGUCUACCGAAGCAGUGGGAUCAUUUAUAUGAUCGGUAGGGGAGCAUUCCAGUCGGCGUCGAAGGCGUACCGUGAGGUAUUCUGGAGCGUCUGGAAAAGCAAAUGUAGGUAUAAGUAACGAUAAAGGGGGCGGGAAACCCCCUCGCCGAAAGACUAAGGUUUCCUGAUCAACGCUAAUCGGAUCAGGGUCAGUCGGGUCCUAAGGCUCAGCCGAACGGCGAUGCCGAUGGCAGAAACGGUUAAUAUUCCGUUACUACCUUCAGGAGUGACGUGGAGACGCAGUAGUGACAGUGCCGCCAUCUGACGGAAUAGAUGGUUGAAGGGUGUAGGAGUCGAUCAUGGCAGGCAAAUCCACCAUGAGAUCCGAACCUGACAGUAUGCCGCGUCCUUCGGGACAAGGCAAUAGUGCGCGUAAGCAUGCUGCCGAGAAAAUCCGCUAAACUUAAUCCUGGAGGUACCCGUACCGCAAACGGACACACGUAGUCGGGAUGAAUAUUCUAAGGCGCUUGAGUGAUUCACGGUUAAGGAACUAGGCAAACUGACCCUGUAACUUCGGGAUAAAGGGUCCCUACCCUUUUAUGGGAGGGCGCAGAGAAUCGGUCCAGGCAACUGUUUAACAAAAACACAGGGCUGUGCCAAAUCGAAAGAUCCAGUAUACAGCCUGACACCUGCCCGGUGCUGGAAGGUUAAGAGGAGAUGUCAUCGAUGAGAGAAGCGUUGAAUUGAAGCCCCAGUAAACGGCGGCCGUAACUAUAACGGUCCUAAGGUAGCGAAAUUCCUUGUCGGGUAAGUUCCGACCUGCACGAAUGGUGUAAUGAUCUGGACGCUGUCUCAACCGUGAGCUCAGUGAAAUUGUAGUAUCGGUGAAGAUGCCGAUUACCCGCGAUGGGACGAAAAGACCCCGUGAACCUUUACUAUAGCUUAUCAUUGAAUCUGGGCACGUGAUGUGUAGGAUAGGUCGGAGGCUUUGAAGCAGGUACGCCAGUAUUUGUGGAGCCGCUGUUGAAAUACGACCCUUUAUUUGUUUGGAUUCUAACCCGUGGAACGGGGACAUUGAUUGGUGGGUAGUUUGACUGGGGUGGUCGCCUCCAAAAGCGUAACGGAGGCUUCUAAAGGUGCCCUCCGGCCGAUUGGUAACCGGCCUUAGAGUGUAAUGGCAUAAGGGCGCUUGACUGGGAGACUAACAAGUCGAUCAGGUAGGAAACUAGAGCAUAGUGAUCCGGUGUUUCC
rnacentral:rRNA from 1 species